rnacentral:rRNA from 1 species
GAUGAACGCUGGCGGCGUGCCUAAUACAUGCAAGUCGAGCGAACAGACGAGGAGCUUGCUCCUCUGACGUUAGCGGCGGACGGGUGAGUAACACGUGGAUAACCUACCUAUAAUACUGGGAUAACUUCGGGAAACCGGAGCUAAUACCGGAUAAUAUAUUGAACCGCAUGGUUCAAUAGUGAAAGACGGUUUUGCUGUCACUUAUAGAUGGAUCCGCGCCGCAUUAGCUAGUUGGUAAGGUAACGGCUUACCAAGGCGACGAUGCGUAGCCGACCUGAGAGGGUGAUCGGCCACACUGGAACUGAGACACGGUCCAGACUCCUACGGGAGGCAGCAGUAGGGAAUCUUGCGCAAUGGGCGAAAGCCUGACGGAGCAACGCCGCGUGAGUGAUGAAGGUCUUCGGAUCGUAAAACUCUGUUAUUAGGGAAGAACAAAUGUGUAAGUAACUAUGCACGUCUUGACGGUACCUAAUCAGAAAGCAACGGCUAACUACGUG